UGGAUAUUUCAUUAUCAUAUUUGGCUGUUAUAACUUUUUAGUUUUAGACUUAAAUGUUAACCUCUCAAAUAACAAAGCAGUCUCAAAUAUUUUUUAGUGUGACAGUACAUCCUCUGAUAAAUAAACUGAAGUACUUUGAUUGCAUUUCUGUGGUGUUCCUGUAGGUGACCAUGAUGCAGCCAGACUGAAGCAGCACGUUGUGAAGGUGGACGCCAUCAUCUUGUCUUUGCAGUGCUGAUUCUGAAGAGCAUGUCUUCACAUAGGACUCAAAGGAAAUUAAUGCCCAAAGGAAACAGCAGUACAGACUCUGAUUCCAGCUCUGGUGAGGUUCUGCACACAAAUUGGCUGUCCGAUUCGUUUAAUGGAAGAUUCCCUCAGAUUCAGAUCCAUCAACAACCCCUGACAACAUGGAGGAC